UACGUAGGGCGCAAGCGUUGUCCGGAAUUAUUGGGCGUAAAGAGCUCGUAGGCGGUUUGUCGCGUCUGCUGUGAAAACCUAAGGCUCAACCUUGGGCUUGCAGUGGGUACGGGCAGACUAGAGUGCGGUAGGGGUGACUGGAAUUCCUGGUGUAGCGGUGGAAUGCGCAGAUAUCAGGAGGAACACCGAUGGCGAAGGCAGGUCACUGGGCCGCAACUGACGCUGAGGAGCGAAAGCAUGGGGGAGCGAACAGG
rnacentral:rRNA from 1 species